rfam:Nicotiana attenuata strain TT scaffold03958, whole genome shotgun sequence.
UUGACAGAUUAUUGUAUUCGACUGCAUUCACGGCGAGAAACAGGGGAUUACACUGUUUUUAAACGGAAAGUGAAUCAAUUAACAUAAUAGACUCCU